rnacentral:lncRNA from 1 species
AAAAUGAGGGCUGGACUGAGGUAUGGAAGGAUUCCGCGCGCUGGCUGCAACAGAGCCGGCAGGUAAAAGCAGUAUCUGGAUCCUGGGUGAUGCGACAGGAAGGGGAUGUGGUGUGGAUCCCGCUACCCUGGGAGACCAGACCUACAAUAAAAAAAUAAAUAAAUAAAUAAAAUUUAAAAAAAAAAAAAAAGAGGGAGGGAUGCAAAGCCAGGACUGGAGCAUAGAUAGGAUGGGAUGAGAACAGCCCCCCUCCCCCAAACAGAAGAGAGAGCCUUGGCAACCGGACAGGGUCCUGGAGCUGACCAGGCUGCAGGAGCAGAGGAGAGGGCUGGAACCCAAGGCUGUGCAUUGAUGAUACUGUCUCAUUCUGCAGCAGUCUGGCCAGGAACUACAGAACCCAGGCUGGACUGAAGCUAAUGGCAAUUCUCCUGCCUCAGCCUCCUGUAUUCUACUCCAAGGGGACAAAUAAUAUAGAUGCCAGCAAAUGGCUUUGCUGUGUGCUCACUGGGAGAGAAACGCAUCAAAGAACUCCUGGUGUUCUGGCUGAUUCUGGUCGCUUCUGCUGACUCAGGGAUGUAGCAGACUCUCGCUGCUUCUGCUGGAUGGCGCUGCCACUACUGAUUUGUGUUUGGUGUUUGCUGUUGAACUGGACUGCUGGUAUCCUGACAACAAAAAGAGAAAUCGCCCAAGAAACUACUUCUAAACAGGUCCACCCUUUUCCAAUUAACCUUCUUUAUCCCCUUUGUCUGGUCGGUAAGUUAGAAGAGCGGUUGAAGUGUUUAAGAACCUUAAAUAAGGGGACUCAAGAGAUGGCUCAUCAGUUGGGAUCACUGACUGCUCUUCCAGAGGUCCCAGGUUCAAUUCCCAGGAACCACAUGGUAGUUCACAACCAUCUGUAGUGGGAUUGGAUGCCCUCUUCUGGUAUGUCUGAAGACACCACCAAUGUACUCACAUAAAAUAAAUAAAUCUUAAAGAAAACAAAC